rnacentral:rRNA from 1 species
GUGAGGAAUAUUGGUCAAUGGACGAGAGUCUGAACCAGCCAAGUAGCGUGAAGGAUGACUGCCCUAUGGGUUGUAAACUUCUUUUAUACGGGAAUAAAGUGAGGCACGUGUGCCUUUUUGUAUGUACCGUAUGAAUAAGGAUCGGCUAACUCCGUGCCAGCAGCCGCGGUAAUACGGAGGAUCCGAGCGUUAUCCGGAUUUAUUGGGUUUAAAGGGAGCGUAGGCGGACGCUUAAGUCAGUUGUGAAAGUUUGCGGCUCAACCGUAAAAUUGCAGUUGAUACUGGGUGUCUUGAGUACAGUAGAGGCAGGCGGAAUUCGUGGUGUAGCGGUGAAAUGCUUAGAUAUCACGAAGAACUCCGAUUGCGAAGGCAGCCUGCUGGACUGUAACUGACGCUGAUGCUCGAAAGUGUGGGUAUCAAACAGGAUUAGAAACCCGUGUAGUCC